rnacentral:lncRNA from 1 species
ACUCCCUUGCUCUGUGAUACACGAGGCCCAAGCCCAGUGUCUUUAGUUUAGUAUUUCUUUUAAUUGUAUUAGAGAUGNGUACAAUGUGUUAGGCAUGUGGUACAUUGAGCCCUAUAUAUAGGCAUGCUAACACAUCUUGUAAUUACUUUUGAGCUUAAUGAGAAUUUGAUUUUCUAAAUCAGAAAAUAAUUCUCCCUUGAAAGUCAUUGGCUAGAGAGUCCAAAAACCUCUAGCCUCCUUCCAAAGCACACAACNUCAUUUUUUCCAUUUUCCAAUUCACCAUAGUGCUUUCUCACUCCUCCANGUAACACCUAUUNGCCAAUCCACAGCCUCCUCGUGGCACCUCAGAUCUGCUGCCACAAACCUACGCGUCAGCCACAUUUUCUCAUUUGCCUGCUUCCUCCGUAGUCAUUCUUCAUUCUUCAUUUUACGCCAAACCCUAGCAUUCGAGAGAGAGAGAGCAUCGCCACCGCAAGUCUUCUCUCAUCCUUUAUAGAUCCACCAUCAGCUACCAUUUCCACCGGUAAAUCUGUUUCCCUUGCCUAGAUCUACCUUACCCUCACCAUUUCCUUUCGAACCCCCGGUUGUUCUCCGAUUUCCAUCAUCUACACCGAUAAAAGCCACAUUUCCACCGAUUAAAAGUCCAUUUCCUCCAAUUAAUCGGUUUAGAUUAGGUUUUCCUCACCUUCUAGGGUUCGUUUACCGUUCUACCUCAUUUCUCUCGGUCUAGAGCUUCUUUUGUCAUUCCGCUGCAUAUUCUCGUCGGAGAAGCUUCGCCGGAGUUGAAUCGCGCCCUCGGUCAACUUCUCUCGGAGCGUCUCGUAUCAAGUGGUAUUCAGAGCAUCAGGUUGUGUCCACGCUUCAAAGCUAAGUAUCUCUGUCUGUGUUCUUUGAUUCUUAUUUCUGUGUUGAUUCGCUUUUUGUCUCUGAAUCUGUUGUUAGUUUUCUGUUUUGAUUCAGUAUUGUCUGUUUUGAGUUCAUCUUAUUUUGUCUUGCUAUGAUUCUGAGUAUUUUGUGCUGUAUCGUUCUAUUUCCGUGUUGUUCAUUGCAUUGCCUUCACUGUCUUGAUUGUUUCUCUGAUUGAGUUUCAUUUUUAUUCAAAUAGGUUUCCAAUUUCUAUAUUGUGCCUUUGAGUCUUUAUCAUUUUCAUUCGGUUUUCCUUACUGAUUUUGAGUCAUUUACAUGAUUUAAACAUCAUUCCAGUUUUGUUUGAAGUCAUGUCAGUUUGAUUGCUUUUACUGUCUUUGCAUCUAGGUUUUUCAACCAAGUUUUACCAAAAUCAAAGUGUUGGAUGUG